rnacentral:rRNA from 1 species
UUCCAGACUCCUACGGGAGGCAGCAGUGGGGAAUAUUGGGCAAUGGGCGCAAGCCUGACCCAGCAACGCCGCGUGAAGGAAGAAGGCUUUCGGGUUGUAAACUUCUUUUCUCAGGGACGAAUAGAUGACGGUACCUGAGGAAUAAGCCACGGCUAACUACGUGCCAGCAGCCGCGGUAAUACGUAGGUGGCAAGCGUUAUCCGGAUUUACUGGGUGUAAAGGGCGUGUAGGCGGGGACGCAAGUCAGAUGUGAAAACCACGGGCUCAACCUGUGGCCUGCAUUUGAAACUGUGUUUCUUGAGUACUGGAGAGGCAGACGGAAUUCCUAGUGUAGCGGUGAAAUGCGUAGAUAUUAGGAGGAACACCAGUGGCGAAGGCGACCUGCUAGAACAUAACUGACGCUGAUGCGCGAAAGCGUGGGGAGCAAACAGGAUUAGAUCCCCUGGUA